rnacentral:misc_RNA from 1 species
AAGUCGUAACAAGGUCUCCGUAGGUGAACCUGCGGAGGGAUCAUUAACACUUAAACAAAACAAACACAACUCGGUAACCCCUUGCUAGUCUUUUAUUUAGUUUGUGAGUUCAAUCAAGGAGAUAAGACUAAGUAUUUUAUAGAUCUUGAGUUCUCAGAUGUAUUUCUGAUUGAUGCUCUCUAUGAUUUAUUUUGUUUUGACUUAUUGAUAGCUCUUACUUUCUAGAUAAAUUUCUAGUAAGAAACCUUUUUUAUUCUAUUCACUCGUAUUUAUACAAGUGUAGUAGUAUAAGAACUUAUACUAUCAGUACUGAAUCUUUUUCUCUCUCUUUUGCUUCUAGCAAAAUAAGAAAGAAAAAAACCUAAAUAAACAUUAAGCACAACUCUUAACAAUGGAUAUCUAGGCUCUC